rnacentral:rRNA from 1 species
UACAGAGGGUGCAAGCGUUAAUCGGAAUUACUGGGCGUAAAGCGUGCGUAGACGGUUAUGUAAGUCGGGUGUGAAAGCCCCGGGCUCAACCUGGGAACGCCAUUCGAGACUGCAUAGCUAGGGUGCGGAAGAGGGAAGCGGAAUUUCCGGUGUAGCGGUGAAAUGCGUAGAUAUCGGAAGGAACACCAGUGGCGAAAGCGGCUUCCUGGUCCAGCACCGACGUUCAGGCACGAAAGCGUGGGGAGCAAACAGG